GAGUUGUGUAUUUGAAAAUAAAAAUUCAUCCUUUUAAUCUUUUCAUUAAAAUAAGGGACUCUAUUGAUCAUAAGGAGGUAAAAGACAGUAGCAUUUUAGGAAGAAGAGUUACUCUUUUUUUUUUUUCGGGGGGGUUAGCGGGAUUGACAUGUCACAACUUUUAGCCAUAUAUUCAACAAGGUUGUGACAUCACUUCUAUUGAUAUUGCUCAUGAAGGAUUCAAUUUUUUGAUUGUAAUAGAAUGACAUGGCUAUCAGUGGCUUUGCAAUAUUUCUAACUGAUAACAAUACAACCAUGAUUCUUAUUUUGUUAGAUC
rnacentral:lncRNA from 1 species